GAAACUCGCCUACAUGAAGCUGGAAUUGCUAGUAAUCACAGGUCAGCAUACUGUGGUGAAUACGUUCCCGGGCCUUGUACACACCGCCCGUAACACCAUGAGAGUUGAGAAUACCCGAAGCCCAUGUCAAAGUGGUCGAAGGUAGGCUUGAUGAUUGGGGUGAAGUCGUAACAAGGUAGC
rnacentral:rRNA from 1 species